UACAGAGGUCCCAAGCGUUGUUCGGAUUCACUGGGCGUAGAGGGUGCGUAGGUGGUGGGGUAAGUCGGAUGUGAAAUCUCCAAGCUCAACUUGGAAACUGCAUUGGAAACUACCUUGCUAGAGGAUUUGAGGGGGGAUUGGAAUACUUGGUGUAGCAGUGAAAUGCGUAGAUAUCAAGUGGAACACCAGUGGCGAAGGCGAAUCCCUGGAAAAUACCUGACACUGAGGCACGAAAGCUAGGGGAGCAAACAGG
rnacentral:rRNA from 1 species